rnacentral:rRNA from 1 species
GACGAACGCUGGCGGCGUGCCUAAUACAUGCAAGUAGAACGCACAGGUUAUACCCUAGCUUGCUACACCAUAUACUUUGAGUUGCGAACGGUUACGUAACACGUAGGUAACCUGCCUGGUAGCGUGGGCUCACUAUUGGAAACGUUAGCUAAUACCUCCUAAUAUUGAUUAUUGCUUGAUAAUUGAUUGAAAUUUGCAAUUGCACCGCUACCAGAUGGACCUGCGUUGUAUUAGCUAGUAGGUGAGGUAACGGCGCACCUAGGCGAGGAUACAUAGCCGACCGGAGUGGGAGGUCGGACAGUCAGAGAGGGAGACACGGCCCAGACUGCUACGGGAGGCAGCAGUAGGGAAGCGUUGGCAAUGGAUGAGAGUCUGACCGAGGCAGGCAGCGUGAGUGAAGAAGGUUUGCGGAUGGGAAAGCUACGUCGUACGCGAAGAAAGGGUGUGAGCGUGGAAAGUUCACACUGUGACGGUAGCUGAACAGAAAGGGACGGCUAACUACGUG